AGAGUUUGAUCCUGGCCCAGAACGAACGCUGGCGGCACGCCUAACACAUGCAAGUCGAGCGAUAAGCACCCUUCGGGGUGUGGACAGCGGCGGACGGGUGAGUAUCGCGUGGGAACCUGCCUAUUGGCACGGAACAACAGUUAGAAAUGACUGCUAAUACCGUAUAUUCCCUUUGGGGGAAAGAUUUAUCGCCAAUAGAUGGGCCCGCGUUAGAUUAGCUAGAUGGUAAGGUAAUGGCUUACCAUGGCGACGAUCUAUAGCUGGUUUGAGAGGAUGAUCAGCCACACUGGGACUGAGACACGGCCCAGACUCCUACGGGAGGCAGCAGUGGGGAAUAUUGGACAAUGGGGGCAACCCUGAUCCAGCGAUGCCGCGUGUGUGAUGAAGGCCUUAGGGUUGUAAAACACUUUCAGAUGGGAUGAUAAUGACAGUACCAUCAGAAGAAGCUCCGGCUAACUCCGUGCCAGCAGCCGCGGUAAUACGGAGGGAGCUAGCGUUGUUCGGAAUUACUGGGCGUAAA
rnacentral:rRNA from 1 species